UCCGAGUUGUCCCCGGCAGUCUCCUAUGAGUCCCCGACUUAACUCGCUGGUAACAUAGGACAAGGGUUGCGCUCGUUGCGGGACUUAACCCAACAUCUCACGGCACGAGCUGACGACAGCCAUGCAGCACCUGUGCACGGACUCCGAAGAGGAACCGAUGUUUCCACCGGCUUUCCCGUGCAUGUCAAGCCCAGGUAAGGUUCUUCGCGUUGCUUCGAAUUAAACCACAUGCUCCACCGCCUGUGCGGGCCCCCGUCAAUUCCUUUGAGUUUCAGCCUUGCGGCCGUACUCCCCAGGCGGAGUGCUUAAUGCGUUAACUCCAGCACUAAGGGGCGGAAACCCCCUAACACCUAGCACUCAUCGUUUACGGCGUGGACUAC
rnacentral:misc_RNA from 1 species